GACGAACGCUGGCGGCGCGCCUAACACAUGCAAGUCGAACGAGCGAGAGAGAGCUUGCUUUCUCGAGCGAGUGGCGAACGGGUGAGUAACGCGUGAGGAACCUGCCUCAAAGAGGGGGACAUCAGUUGGAAACGACUGCUAAUACCGCAUAAGCCCACGGUGCCGCAUGGCACAGAGGGAAAAGGAGCAAUCCGCUUUGAGAUGGCCUCGCGUCCGAUUAGCUAGUUGGUGAGGUAAUGGCCCACCAAGGCGACGAUCGGUAGCCGGACUGAGAGGUUGAACGGCCACAUUGGGACUGAGACACGGCCCAGACUCCUACGGGAGGCAGCAGUGGGGAAUAUUGCACAAUGGGGGUAACCCUGAUGCAGCGACGCCGCGUGGAGGAAGAAGGUCUUCGGAUUGUAAACUCCUGUUGUUGGGGAAGAUAAUGACGGUACCCAACAAGGAAGUGACGGCUAACUACGUG
rnacentral:rRNA from 1 species